rnacentral:misc_RNA from 1 species
UAAUCUCACCACGAUCGACUUUGUGUCUUUCCGUGUGUGGACUUGGAUGCUGCCGUGGAUCCCACGGCUCGUCUGAAAUGCCUGAGUGUACCCCGCUUUGCGGCGUAUUCGGUGUGAUAAAUCUUCACCGGAGUUGAUCCCUUGUGGGUCGCGUCUUACGAGUGUGGCUCUAUGCUUCCAACCGUCUGUUUUGGACAAUCUCUGACA